rnacentral:rRNA from 1 species
UACGGAGGAAGCUAGCGUUGAUCGGAAUUACUGGGCGUAAAGCGCACGUAGGCGGCCGUUCAAGUCAGAGGUGAAAGCCCGGGGCUCAACCUCGGAAUAGCCUUUGAAACUAGAUGGCUUGAAUCUUGGAGAGGUCAGUGGAAUUCCGAGUGUAGAGGUGAAAUUCGUAGAUAUUCGGAAGAACACCAGUGGCGAAGGCGACUGACUGGACAAGUAUUGACGCUGAGGUGCGAAAGCGUGGGGAGCAAACAGG